GUGUUAACACAAUGAAACUCACAAAACGAAGGAGAUAACGACGGAACUUACACAAUAAUCAAACAGUCGACCUCAUAGGCAAUAAAAAAUUCCUGAUUAAUGUAGAAUCAAAUACCGUAAAAAGAAAAAGAAAAAAAAGAACCAAACUUAGAAAAAGAAAGAAUGAACAAUAGAAUUUCUUCAAACUAUUUUAAGGUAACCACCAUCCCG
rnacentral:lncRNA from 1 species